AGUGAGGCGCUCCUCGCAUACAGCAGGGGAAAAUACGGCAAAACACAGUCCGUGAAAUACAGUGUCGGAGUCAUACUUAAGGAAUGACUGGAAAGAAUAUUAAAAAUAUAUAAUUAGGAAUAUAAUAUAAGUAGGAAUAUAAAGGGACACAGAUCUGAAGGGCAGACAUUAGCUUAUUUCAUAUUACAGAGCUUUUCUUUUCUUCAAAGAAAAAUCCCUCAUGUGCCUUACGAACAAGAACAAAAGGAUUCUAAAUGGACAGCCUAAUCUUUUCCACCCCAAUUUGCAAUGUUAUAAAUAAUUUUAUGAUUAAUGAGAGCAUUUCCAGUGCCAGGUUCUGAGGUGAUGCUCUUCACACUUUGUUAUUUUUAACCCCCACUGCGACUCUGCCAGCUGAGUGACCCCACUUUACAGAUGAGGCUGGGGGGCUACUCGCCCUCACAGAGCAGCUCCUGCGGGGCCCGGGGCCCAGGCUGCGCGCAGAGCGUCCCUCGGCUAAGGAAACACCAGCCCCUAGGCUCCGGUUCGGCGAAUUCCUGGGGCUUCUAGUUUCAGAGCGUUUUUGCACCUUCCGCAGCUGUGGCCCAGGGCUUUUGAACAUCUCAGCGGCUGCAGGGACCGAAGUAGCUAAAUGGACAAAGGAUCCGAGAAAGAAUCUGAAAGUUCGAAUACUGUGUAUUCAGAAAGAGGCACUACUUCAGAUGAAUGGAUUCCUGAAUAGGUUUUCCAGAAGAACUUGUUUUGUCCGUCCGGCUGGGGAGGUGUGUGUGCGGGCCCCACGGAAGCGCUCUGCUGCCCCGGGGGGAGCCAAGGGCCGGGGAACUGAGACACACAGAAGUGGGUGUGCGGUGGAGCGCCCGCGGCCGACCCUCUUUGUUCCUCCGACAUUUCUUUUCAUCUCUGCAGCACAUCUCUGGCAUCGCCCGGGUCCCUGGGGUGCCCACUCAUCGGGUUCCAGGCCUGAAGCGGCGGCUGUGCUCCCCUCUCAUCGGUGGCCAGAGCCCCCUUUCCGUUCCAACAUCAGAGCAGGGAGCCGAUGCUCUCCCUGAUGGGCUGUGACAGUGAAGCCAGCACGGUCCCCAGCGGCCAGGAGCCGUCUGUCACCGGGAGCUUCUGGGGCUUGAGGAGAGGACCUUGGUGGCAGAGCUGGGGAGGCGGCAUCAUCCAAAGCCACCCCUGUUCUGUGGCACCAGCAGCUGGUGGUCACGAAGUGGCCAAGGGACAGGCAGGGACCUUGGCUCUGCCCCAAGGUGGUGAUGCCUGGCCUCUCCAGCUGGUGGUGCCUCCCCAUAUCCCCUUUUCCCCCCCUCAUCGCCCCUCUCCUUCCUUGCAUCCCCCCAUCCACGUCGGUGUGCUUGCUUCUGUGCGUUCUUUCCUUCGUACGUCUGUUCAGAAAAGCAUGCGUCGUGACCCGCCACAUGCCAGGCCCAGAAUCUGAGACGAGGGAAACCGUCCCCACGGGUGUGGGCAUGCAGGCGUCUCCUGCCGACUCUUCCAGGUCCACCCCCGGCCCUGCCCCACCCACAGGCCCACCGCCCCCAGCUCCUGGUGGCCUCCGCCCGUGGAGGACCCCCGAGGAGAGCAGGGCUUGGCAGUGGGGUGCUGGCUUCCCUGCUCGUGCUGUGUGGUGGCCUGGGGGGCUGUGCCACGGGGCCUGGUAGGCGGCCUCUCCCACAGGGCUUUUCCCUCUGGGUCUGGGAUCUGUGGGUUCCUCUCGGUCCUCAGGCGCCCUGCUGUCACUAGCCCCACCUGCUCACCAGCUGUCUGGUGGCUGCCGCACACCCUGCCCACAGCCUUGCACGCAGUCCCUUCAGUCAGUGUCCGAGCCAGCCAUGUGUCCCCUGCCGGCACCCUGACUUCCCAGGGAGAAGCUGGAAGACGGAAGCUGGUGAAGCAUGUGGGUAAAAGUGCAGUAUUUCCGCAAUCUCUCCUGGCCUUAGUGCGUCUCCGUAUCAGUGGGUGUGUCCGAGGGGUGGAGGGAAGUCCAUCUCUGUAUCAACAGGUGAUUACAAGGGUCGGGAGGCGAGGGUGUAUCUGCACCAGAGAGGCUGGGUGGGGCCUGUUUAGGUGACCAGGUUGCUAAAGGCACAGGCGAGCAGAGCAGAUGACUGCUUUCUCCCACUUUAUUUCUCCCUUUGAUUUUGGCUUCAGAGGUGAUUUGCCCUGGGCUGGGAACUUAUUCCCCCCACCCCCCACCCGAGUCACAAGCGCCUGAGGCGGCAUGGAGGAUGGCCUGGCGGUGCGGCCCCUGCCACAGGGCCCUGUGCCACCGUGGGGCUCAACAACCUCUUCUGUGUUUCCCACCAUAAAAGAAAACUUCAGUCCUCCUUAACUCGGCCCCUAUUCCACUGUCCUUCCCAUGGGGACUUUUCACCAGUGCGAGACUCCCGAAGUGAUUAAGGACGUGAGAAGCCAGGCUUUACCGGGGUGCUUCUGGCUAAGACGUCUGAGUCUGGGCCCCAGGCGGGCUCGGCGGUGCUGUGGGGCUGCGGCCCUGAUGUGGGGCACGGCUGGGGUGGGACUGUCUUCUUUCACUGGCAGAGGGAAGCGUGCUGUCAGCAGGUGCCGCCACCCUGGGAUGGCCGUCCCGACCACAGCAGGCUCCCCUUCCUCCGGGAGAACGAUGCGGCCGAACGCGGGCAGCCGCCUUGAAGAGGGGUCACGCUCGUCAGUCCCAAGUGUUCUGAGCGCUCGGCCGCCCUGACAUGGCUCCCAGCGCUGCUGCAAAGCGGAAUUCCAUGUCCAGAAGGGCCGCCUGGCCUCCAUCCAAGAGGUUCAGUGUUCGAGGAGCCUGUGGGAUCCCCGGCGACCUCUGGGGUGAGUGUGGGAGCCGGAUUCCGAGGGGUCAUGCUGUCCGUCAUGUUCUAGCACCCUGCCGAACGGGAGUCUAACGGAAACAGAAGAUCGUUCAGCGAGAGUAGAUGAAUCUAAACGGCAGACCUUUCUCAAGCCCCACUAGUGUGUAGCCUUGAUCCACAACUGGAUUCAAUUACAGCAUGCAAAGAAAGGCAUUUUCUCAUAAAACCGGCCUGUUUUUGAGCUGGCUCCGGGCGGGGCGGCCAUGACAAAGACAAGCUUGUGCGUCCUUUCUGGCUGUUCAUCUUUCCAAGCUCCUCCACUGCUACCGCCAGGCCCCGCACCGCUUGGACCAGUUACGUGGAGGCCAGUUUACUCUUCUGGGCUUUCGGCCUUUGUGUCCGGUGCUGAUGGUAGAGGAGCAGCCAGUGCCCCACACGGCCGUGGAGCUGAGCAGCUGCAUGCCUGACCUGUGGCUGUGCUGUGCCUGGUGCCCCUGGGGCAGACAGGUGAGGAAGGCCAGUGUCUUGGGAAGGGGCCUGAGACAGAUUGCUGGGGACUUGAGAGCGGCCUCGUGGACUCAAGCCCAGGGGUCACCGUUCUCAAACACCCAUGACUGCACCUGACUUACCAACAGCGUCCUGCGGGCCGUGUGCUGCCCUAUCCUAAGAGUUUACGUGCACUGACUCACUCACUCCUGACAGUCCUCUGAAGUAGGUAUCAGCAUAUCCCCACUUCACAGGAGGGGAAGUCGAGGCGCAGAGACGUGAUGCGAUUUGCCCCGAGGUGCACAAUCAGUGCGCGACUCAGAGCCCAGGCUCGUGGUCACUGCACUGUCUAGGGGCAGGCUGCAGAAAUUUUACAGCCAUGAUUAGCGCUUAUUUAAC